CUAUGGGGUUUUACAAUGAACUUUGGAGCGUUUUCCCUCACUACUCAGUGGUUAGGGCUUAAGCUGCUUGUGGUGAGGUGUUCUCUAGGGUUUUAGAGAAAGCGCUCAAAUUAGCACAAUUCUCUGAAACAAGUGUCACCAGAGAAAUGGGUUUCUGGGGAAUCGAAGUGAAACCCGGAAAACCUCAUCCUUAUCAUUCUGAUAAUGUGCAAGGAACGCUUCAUGUAACUCAGGCAACUUUAGGCCUUGGUUCGUCAGCAGAAAAGACCAUACUUCAAUGCUCCGUAGGAGAUAAAAUUCCAAUUUUCUUAUGCUCUUUAUUGCCAAAUAAGAACGAAUCUUGCUCCUUGAAUCUUGAAUUUGAUGAGGAUGAUUUGGUAGCCUUCUCAGUAAUUGGUCCACGAAGCAUCCAUCUAUCUGGUUACUUUGUGGCUGAUGAUGGAGAUCACCUUCGAGAUGAAUAUGAUUCUGAUUCGUAUGGGGAGGAUAUCAUGGAGAUUAAUACAGAUGACUCCUCUGAAUUUGAUACCGGAGAUGAGUAUGAGGAUGACUUUGCUGAUGAUGAUGAUGACUUAUUCCCACCUUCAACUAUCCGUAAUAGUGGAGUUGUGAUUGAGGAGAUAGUGGAUGAUGAGAAACCCAUGAAUGGGAACAAUCAACCAAAACGACUAAAGAAAAAGGAUCAAUCAAGUAACUCUGAGCAACAAAUUGUUGUCAAGAGUGGUGCCGGUGUCUCAGUCUUGGAAAGUGAAGAUGAAGAUGGCUUUCCGAUUUCUAGCUCAUGUAAAAGCAAAGGAAUUUCUCAAGAUUCCCAAGUGGGAGAGGAUGAAGUGACAGAUAAGAAAACAAGUGAAAACUCUGAGAAGAAGAAAGGCAUAGGCAGCAGUGAUGAUGGUACUGGGAAAAAAAGAAAAGUUGAAAGUGUGGACCAAGAUGAUCAACCAGAGAAAAAAAAGAAGAAGAAAAAGAAAAAAGAAAAGGGUGAACGGGGACAAAUUAAUAAAGCUGUUAUUAGUGAUGAGAUUGAGGAUCUCUCAGAGGGAAAAAAUCAACAGGAGUUGAAGAGCCACAACAUGAACCAGAAGAACCUUGGCAAUGAUGCAGAGAAUGUGCCUGAUGAAAAUUACCCUGGGAAGAAAAAAAAGAAACAAAAGAAGAAGAAGUCCCAGGAAAGUGAAGGGGACAGGAAAACUGACCAGACUGUUUCACCCAUGCAAGAACAAGCUGUGUCUGAACCAUCUCAAGUGAGAUCAUUUCCAAAUGGAUUGGUUAUUGAGGAGGUAGCAAUGGGAAAGCCAGAUGGAAAAAGAGCUUCUAAUGGAAAACAGGUCAGCGUCCACUACAUUGGAAAACUGAAAAACGGGAAAAUAUUUGACUCAAACGUGGGCAGAGCACCCUUUAAAUUCCGCCUAGGCAUAGGGCAAGUGAUUAAGGGAUGGGAUGUUGGGGUCAAUGGCAUGCGUGUGGGGGACAAACGAAGACUUACAAUUCCACCAUCAAUGGGUUAUGGGGCAAAAGGUGCCGGGGGAAAGAUACCACCAAAUUCGUGGCUUGUGUUUGAUGUGGAGUUGGUUGAUGUUCGAUAAACAGGCUGUUCUUUUUUCUCUUUCCUCCAGUUUUGAAGCUCUUCACUGUUUUAGUAGCUGACAGGUGGAAUUGUGACAGUUGGAUAUUAUGAAGAUUAAGUUGAAAGAACUGGUGAUGGAUAUGGAGAAGUGUGUUCUUGGCCAGUGCAAGAGUUUGCUUUGUCUAACCGUAGGUUGUGUUAUUUGAGUUCAAAUAAUGCGAGGUUGGGUUAGGUCCAACCUCAUAGCUUUGCCAAGUGAUGUGAACCUCGGUCAUGUUCAUUGGCCGUUUUGAAUUUGUUAAAGCUGGUAGUGUCACUGUGAUCAUUGAUUGGCAAAUCAAAGGUUGAUGUUUUUGGAAGGUUUCUGAGAAAUUCUUUAGAGUGGUUUUGUUGAAGUUUUGGUAGUGGAUCUUGUUCAAUCCACACUAGUUUUAACUGAAAUUGAAGCUGGAUUUAGGGCAGGCUCAGCUUCUACUAGGAGAAGAAACUUAAAAAAAUGGAAAUAAAAAUUGAACUCUUUAUAACUUUAGAAA